AGUGAACGCUGGCGGUAUGCCUAACACAUGCAAGUCGAACGGUAACACACCGUGAGGUUCCGCCUACUGGCGGCCAGGGGCGGAAUAGUGCGGAACAUAUCGGAAUCUAGUGUUAAGGAGGGGAUAACGUUGCUAAAAUUACGUUCAUACUGCAGACGACCUAAGGGUGCAAGCAGGGGUUCCUCGGACCUUGCGGCAUAGAGUGAGCCGAUGUCGGAUUAGCUAGUUGGCGGGGUAAAGGCCCACCAAGUCGACGAUCUGUAGCUGGUCUGAGAGGAUGAUCAGCCACACUGGGACUGAGACACGGCCCAGACUCCUACGGGAGGCAGCAGUGGGGAAUUUUGGACAAUGGGCGCAAGCCUGAUCCAGCCAUGCCGCGUGCAGGAAGAAGGCCUUCGGGUUGUAAACUGAUUUUGUUCGGAAAGAAAAGCCUUCUUUUAAUACCGCGGUGUUAUGACGGUACCCAAAGAAUAAGCACCGGCUAACUUCGUG
rnacentral:rRNA from 1 species